ACCUUCCUUCUCCAAACAUACCAGGAACCUUUCACCAGCAAGCAGGGCAAUUCUGCUUCAUGGGCCUGCAGAGUUUUACCUGCAAGCGCUUGCCAGGGCUUUAGCACAUCACUUUGAAUCAAAGUUGCUGCUGCUAGAUGUGGCUGACUUUUCUUCCAAGAUCCGGAACAAAAUAUGGUUUUGCAAGACAAGAACCAGUAAGUCUUUUCUGCUA